rnacentral:rRNA from 1 species
AUGUUGGACACGCCGACGAGCCCGCCGGGCGGCGGCUUCGGCAGCAUCAGGGAGCAGGACAGGAUCCUGCCCAUCGCCAACAUCAGCAGCAUCACGAAGAAGGCCAUCCUGGCCAACGGCAAGAUCGCCAAGGACGCCAAGGAGACCGUGCGAGAGUGCAUCUCGGAGUUCAUUGCUUCAUCGCCAACGAGUGAGGCGAGCGACAAGUGCUAGAGGGAGAAGUGCAAGACCAUCAACAUCGAUGACCUGCUCUGGGCGAUGGCCACGCUAGGCUUUUAGGAGUACAUUGAGCCCCUCAAGGUUUAUCUGUAGAAUUACAGAGAGGUGCAUGCCCAUUUAGCCAUGUGGGAUUUUUUAUCUGAACUAAUUGGGGAUGGAUUAGUGCUUUGA